GACAGGUUUUAGUCUGUGAAGGAAUAAUCAUAAUAUAAUAUUAAUUAUAACAUUUAUAUUAUAAUGCUAUACUUCUGUGUUCAAUGGGCUGCUGCUGGUGUAACUACAGAGGAAUUAAAGCAUGGGACCUUUUUCGAGGAAACACCCAAACAAACACCUCUGAAGUGAGAUUCAGGGUCUGGUAAUGGUCCCAGUGGAAAUGCCUCCAGCAUUGAGGCUAUCUGCUGAUCCCGACAGAGGUGUGGGCUUUGGGUUUCUUCUGGGAUAUGACUAUGAGAGGAAGAAGAAGAAACUCCAGCAGGAGCUUCAGCUGGACUACAAACAGUACGCU